UGCAGUCGAGCGGACAGAUGGGAGCUUGCUCCCUGAUGUUAGCGGCGGACGGGUGAGUAACACGUGGGUAACCUGCCUGUAAGACUGGGAUAACUCCGGGAAACCGGGGCUAAUACCGGAUGGUUGUCUGAACCGCAUGGUUCAGACAUAAAAGGUGGCUUCGGCUACCACUUACAGAUGGACCCGCGGCGCAUUAGCUAGUUGGUGAGGUAACGGCUCACCAAGGCGACGAUGCGUAGCCGACCUGAGAGGGUGAUCGGCCACACUGGGACUGAGACACGGCCCAGACUCCUACGGGAGGCAGCAGUAGGGAAUCUUCCGCAAUGGACGAAAGUCUGACGGAGCAACGCCGCGUGAGUGAUGAAGGUUUUCGGAUCGUAAAGCUCUGUUGUUAGGGAAGAACAAGUGCCGUUCAAAUAGGGCGGCACCUUGACGGUACCUAACCAGAAAGCCACGGCUAACUACGUGCCAGCAGCCGCGGUAAUACGUAGGUGGCAAGCGUUGUCCGGAAUUAUUGGGCGUAAAGGGCUCGCAGGCGGUUUCUUAAGUCUGAUGUGAAAGCCCCCGGCUCAACCGGGGAGGGUCAUUGGAAACUGGGGAACUUGAGUGCAGAAGAGGAGAGUGGAAUUCCACGUGUAGCGGUGAAAUGCGUAGAGAUGUGGAGGAACACCAGUGGCGAAGGCGACUCUCUGGUCUGUAACUGACGCUGAGGAGCGAAAGCGUGGGGAGCGAACAGGAUUAGAUACCCUGGUAGUCCACGCCGUAAACGAUGAGUGCUAAGUGUUAGGGGGUUUCCGCCCCUUAGUGCUGCAGCUAACGCAUUAAGCACUCCGCCUGGGGAGUACGGUCGCAAGACUGAAACUCAAAGGAAUUGACGGGGGCCCGCACAAGCGGUGGAGCAUGUGGUUUAAUUCGAAGCAACGCGAAGAACCUUACCAGGUCUUGACAUCCUCUGACAAUCCUAGAGAUAGGACGUCCCCUUCGGGGGCAGAGUGACAGGUGGUGCAUGGUUGUCGUCAGCUCGUGUCGUGAGAUGUUGGGUUAAGUCCCGCAACGAGCGCAACCCUUGAUCUUAGUUGCCAGCAUUCAGUUGGGCACUCUAAGGUGACUGCCGGUGACAAACCGGAGGAAGGUGGGGAUGACGUCAAAUCAUCAUGCCCCUUAU
rnacentral:rRNA from 1 species